AUAUAUAUAUAUAUAUAAAAUUACACACAAAAAAUACAAAUAUUUAUUAAAUUUGCAGUGGUUUCAGAUGCAGGUAUUUUAUUUAAAAUGUCUCUUAAUGUGUAUUACAUGGUAAGACAUUUGUAAUUGUAAUCACUGGAACUUGAGUAAAGCUUAUUUAUAAUGAUUUUUGUUAGCCAAAGAAAGAUAAAAGGGAAAGCAGCAAUCCUUCAUAUAACGUCUUAUAGAUUAUAGGUGUUUGUAAUAUGUGACCUUUUGACCUUUAACUGAGAUGCAUUUGUUAACAUGAUGUUUCUUUAUGUAAUUGUGAUACUUUUUUUUUUUUCUGAUUGAAUUUAUUUUCAUUAUAUUAUUAGAU